rnacentral:rRNA from 1 species
AUUGAACGCUGGCGGCAGGCUUAACACAUGCAAGUCGAGCGGGGUGAUGGUGCUUGCACUAUCACUUAGCGGCGGACGGGUGAGUAAUGCUUAGGAAUCUGCCUAUUAGUGGGGGACAACAUCUCGAAAGGGAUGCUAAUACCGCAUACGUCCUACGGGAGAAAGCAGGGGAUCACUUGUGACCUUGCGCUAAUAGAUGAGCCUAAGUCGGAUUAGCUAGUUGGUGGGGUAAAGGCCUACCAAGGCGACGAUCUGUAGCGGGUCGGAGAGGAUGAUCCGCCACACUGGGACUGCGACACGGCCCAGACUCCUACGGGAGGCAGCAGUGGGGAAUAUUGGACAAUGGGGGGAACCCUGAUCCAGCCAUGCCGCGUGUGUGAAGAAGGCCUUAUGGUUGUAAAGCACUUUAAGCGAGGAGGAGGCUCUUUUGGUUAAUACCCAAGAUGAGUGGACGUUACUCGCAGAAUAAGCACCGGCUAACUCUGUGCCAGCAGCCGCGGUAA